rnacentral:misc_RNA from 1 species
GCAAACUUGGUCAUUUAGAGGAAGUAAAAGUCGUAACAAGGUCUCCGUUGGUGAACCAGCGGAGGGAUCAUUACUGAGUGUUAAAACUCCCAAACCCUUUGUGAACACUACCAUUCGUUGCUUCGGCGGGAUCGCCCCGGCGCCUCUGUGCGCCGGAUCCAGGCGCCUGCCGGGGGCCCGAAACUCUUGUUUUGUCAGUGGUAUUUUCUCUGAGUGGCAUAAGCAAAUAAAUCAAAACUUUCAACAACGGAUCUCUUGGUUCUGGCAUCGAUGAAGAACGCAGC